ACGAACGCUGGCGGCACGCUUAACACAUGCAAGUCGAACGAGAGAAGAGGAGCUUGCUUUUCUGAUCUAGUGGCGGACGGGUGAGUAACACGUGAGCAAUCUGCCUUUCAGAGGGGGAUACCGAUUGGAAACGAUCGUUAAUACCGCAUAACAUAAUUGAACCGCAUGAUUUGAUUAUCAAAGAUUUAUCGCUGAAAGAUGAGCUCGCGUCUGAUUAGCUAGUUGGUAAGGUAACGGCUUACCAAGGCGACGAUCAGUAGCCGGACUGAGAGGUUGAUCGGCCACAUUGGGACUGAGACACGGCCCAGACUCCUACGGGAGGCAGCAGUGGGGAAUAUUGCACAAUGGAGGAAACUCUGAUGCAGCGAUGCCGCGUGAGGGAAGAAGGUUUUAGGAUUGUAAACCUCUGUCUUCAGGGACGAAAAAAGACGGUACCUGAGGAGGAAGCUCCGGCUAACUACGUGCCAGCAGCCGCGGUAAUACGUAGGGAGCGAGCGUUGUCCGGAAUUACUGGGUGUAAAGGGAGCGUAGGCGGGAUCGCAAGUCAGAUGUGAAAACUAUGGGCUUAACCCAUAAACUGCAUUUGAAACUGUGGUUCUUGAGUGAAGUAGAGGUAAGCGGAAUUCCUAGUGUAGCGGUGAAAUGCGUAGAUAUUAGGAGGAACAUCAGUGGCGAAGGCGGCUUACUGGGCUUUAACUGACGCUGAGGCUCGAAAGCGUGGGGAGCAAACAGGAUUAGAUACCCUGGUAGUCCACGCUGUAAACGAUGAAUACUAGGUGUGGGGGGACUGACCCCUUCCGUGCCGCAGCAAACGCAAUAAGUAAUCCACCUGGGGAGUACGACCGCAAGGUUGAAACUCAAAGGAAUUGACGGGGGCCCGCACAAGCAGUGGAGUAUGUGGAUUAAUUCGAAGCAACGCGAAGAACCUUACCAGGUCUUGACAUCGUAUGCAUAGCUCAGAGAUGAGUGAAAUCUCUUCGGAGACAUAUAGACAGGUGGUGCAUGGUUGUCGUCAGCUCGUGUCGUGAGAUGUUGGGUUAAGUCCCGCAACGAGCGCAACCCUUACUGUUAGUUGCUACGCAAGAGCACUCUAGCAGGACUGCCGUUGACAAAACGGAGGAAGGUGGGGAUGACGUCAAAUCAUCAUGCCCCUUAUGACCUGGGCCUCACACGUACUACAAUGGCUGUCAACAGAGGGAAGCAAAGCCGCGAGGUGGAGCAAACCCCUAAAAGCAGUCUUAGUUCGGAUUGUAGGCUGCAACCCGCCUACAUGAAGUCGGAAUUGCUAGUAAUCGCAGAUCAGCAUGCUGCGGUGAAUACGUUCCCGGGCCUUGUACACACCGCCCGUCACGCCAUGGGAGUCGGUAACACCCGAAGCCUGUAGUCUAACCGCAAGGAGGACGCAGUCGAAGGUGGGAUUGAUGACUGGGGUG
rnacentral:rRNA from 1 species